rnacentral:rRNA from 1 species
GAAUAUUCGACAAUGGGGGGAACCCUGAUCCAGCCAUGCCGCGUUUGUUCAGACGCCCUUCUGGUUGUAAAGCACUUUAAGCGAGGAGGAGGAGCUCUUGGUUAAUACCCAAUCUGCUUGGCCGUUACUCGCAGAAUACGCCCCGGCCAACUCUGUGCCAUCAGCCGCGGUAAUCCAGUGGGUGCAAGCUUUAACCGGAUUUACGGGGCGUAAAGCGAGCGUAGGUGGCAAAUUAAGGCAAAUGUGAAAUCCGCGAGCUUAACUUGGGAAGUGCAGUCGAGAGUGGUUGGGUAGAGUAUGGGAGAGGAUGGUAGAAGUGCAGGUGUAGCGGUGAAAUGAGUAGAGAUGUGGAGGAAUACCGAUGGCGAAGGCAGCCAUCUGGCCUAAUACUGACACUGAGGUGCGAAAGCAUGGGGAGCAAACAG